UGCAAAUCAAUAUAAAUUGAAUUUAAUAUUUAUUUAUUUAUUUAUUUUAUGAUUUAUUUAUAUUAUUAUUUGUUUAAUUUAUAUUAAAAAUAAUUAUAAAAAUUAGUGUUUUAGUAAUUUUUAAUGAAAAAAUAAAUUUAAUUAUAGUUUAUUUGUAUUGUGAAAGAUUAUUGAAAUAAUUUGAAAAAUUUUUAUUUUAUAAGAAAAAUUUAUUUUUUGUACCUUGUGUAUCAGGGUUUAUUAAAUAAUUGAUAUUAAAAAUAUUGAUCUCGAUUUUAUAAGAGUUAAUAAUUUAUUAAAUUUAAUGUGUUAAAAUUAUUUUAAAUAAGUUAUUAGAAAUGAAAUGUUAUUCGUUUAUAAAUAUAUCUGGUUUUUUUAGAAAUAAAUUUAAUUUAGUAAUUUUUGAUUUAUUUAUUUAUUUUGUUAAUAAAUAAAUUUAUUAAUUAUAAUAUUUUAAGGGAUAAGCUUUAAAAUGAAUUAUUAUAAAUGAGAUAAAUUAGUUAAAAAAUAUAUGCUUAGAAUUAGCAAUUAUUAUUAAUUUUGUUAAAAAUUAUUUUACUUAAAUAUUAUUUAUUAAUGUUUUAAUUUUUUAUAAAAAAAAAAUUUUUUGUAAUUUUAUUUGAAAAGAAAUAAUGAUUAAAUUAGUAUAUAUAUAUAUAUAUAUAUAUAUAAGUAAUUUUUAAUGAAAAGUUUAUAUAAAGAACUCGGCAAAUAUAUUACUCGCCUGUUUAACAAAAACAUGUCUUUUUGAGUUAAUUUUAAAGUCUGACCUGCCCAAUGAAAAUUUUUAAUGGCCGCAGUAAUUUAACUGUGCAAAGGUAGCAUAAUCAUUAGUCUUUUAAUUGAAGGCUUGUAUGAAUGGUUGGAUGAAGUAUAAUCUGUUUCAUAUAAAUUUAUUAUAGAAUUUUAUAUUUUAGUAAAAAAGCUAAAAUUUUGUUAAAAGACGAGAAGACCCUAUAAAUCUUUAUAAUUUUAAAAAUUUUUAUUUUUUAGAUUGAUUUUAUAUUAAUUUUUAAAAUUAUUUUAUUGGGGUGAUAUUAAAAUUUAAUUAACUUUUAAUUAAUUGUUAUCAUUAAUUUAUGAUUUAUUGAUCUAUUAUUAAUGAUUAAAAGAAUAAGUUACUUUAGGGAUAACAGCGUAAUUUUUUUGGAGAGUUCUUAUUGAUAAAAAAGUUUGCGACCUCGAUGUUGGAUUAAGGUAAAUUUUAGGUGUAGUUGCUUAAAUGAUAAGUCUGUUCGACUUU
rnacentral:rRNA from 1 species